rnacentral:rRNA from 1 species
CGAAUGCUGACAUAAGUAACGAUAAAGCGGGUGAAAAGCCCGCUCGCCGGAAGACCAAGGGUUCCUGUCCAACGUUAAUCGGGGCAGGGUGAGUCGACCCCUAAGGCGAGGCCGAAAGGCGUAGUCGAUGGGAAACAGGUUAAUAUUCCUGUACUUGGUGUUACUGCGAAGGGGGGACGGAGAAGGCUAUGUUGGCCGGGCGACGGUUGUCCCGGUUUAAGCGUGUAGGCUGGUUUUCCAGGCAAAUCCGGAAAAUCAAGGCUGAGGCGUGAUGACGAGGCACUACGGUGCUGAAGCAACAAAUGCCCUGCUUCCAGGAAAAGCCUCUAAGCAUCAGGUAACAUCAAAUCGUACCCCAAACCGACACAGGUGGUCAGGUAGAGAAUACCAAGGCGCUUGAGAGAACUCGGGUGAAGGAACUAGGCAAAAUGGUGCCGUAACUUCGGGAGAAGGCACGCUGAUAUGUAGGUGAAGCGACUUGCUCGUGGAGCUGAAAUCAGUCGAAGAUACCAGCUGGCUGCAACUGUUUAUUAAAAACACAGCACUGUGCAAACACGAAAGUGGACGUAUACGGUGUGACGCCUGCCCGGUGCCGGAAGGUUAAUUGAUGGGGUUAGCGGUAACGCGAAGCUCUUGAUCGAAGCCCCGGUAAACGGCGGCCGUAACUAUAACGGUCCUAAGGUAGCGAAAUUCCUUGUCGGGUAAGUUCCGACCUGCACGAAUGGCGUAAUGAUGGCCAGGCUGUCUCCACCCGAGACUCAGUGAAAUUGAACUCGCUGUGAAGAUGCAGUGUACCCGCGGCAAGACGGAAAGACCCCGUGAACCUUUACUAUAGCUUGACACUGAACAUUGAGCCUUGAUGUGUAGGAUAGGUGGGAGGCUUUGAAGUGUGGACGCCAGUCUGCAUGGAGCCGACCUUGAAAUACCACCCUUUAAUGUUUGAUGUUCUAACGUUGGCCCCUGAUCGGGGUUGCGGACAGUGUCUGGUGGGUAGUUUGACUGGGGCGGUCUCCUCCUAAAGAGUAACGGAGGAGCACGAAGGUUGGCUAAUCCUGGUCGGACAUCAGGAGGUUAGUGCAAUGGCAUAAGCCAGCUUGACUGCGAGCGUGACGGCGCGAGCAGGUGCGAAAGCAGGUCAUAGUGAUCCGGUGGUUCUGAAUGGAAGGGCCAUCGCUCAACGGAUAAAAGGUACUCCGGGGAUAACAGGCUGAUACCGCCCAAGAGUUCAUAUCGACGGCGGUGUUUGGCACCUCGAUGUCGGCUCAUCACAUCCUGGGGCUGAAGUAGGUCCCAAGGGUAUGGCUGUUCGCCAUUUAAAGUGGUACGCGAGCUGGGUUUAGAACGUCGUGAGACAGUUCGGUCCCUAUCUGCCGUGGGCGCUGGAGAACUGAGGGGGGCUGCUCCUAGUACGAGAGGACCGGAGUGGACGCAUCACUGGUGUUCGGGUUGUCAUGCCAAUGGCACUGCCCGGUAGCUAAAUGCGGAAGAGAUAAGUGCUGAAAGCAUCUAAGCACGAAACUUGCCCCGAGAUGAGUUCUCCCUGAGACUUU